CCUACGGGAGGCAGCAGUGGGGAAUAUUGCACAAUGGGGGGAACCCUGAUGCAGCGACGCCGCGUGAGUGAAGAAGUAUUUCGGUAUGUAAAGCUCUAUCAGCAGGGAAGAAAAUGACGGUACCUGACUAAGAAGCCCCGGCUAACUACGUGCCAGCAGCCGCGGUAAUACGUAGGGGGCAAGCGUUAUCCGGAUUUACUGGGUGUAAAGGGAGCGUAGACGGCAGAGCAAGUCUGAAGUGAAAGUCCGCGGCCCAACUGCGGGACUGCUUUGGAAACUGCCCGGCUAGAGUGCAGGAGAGGUAAGCGGAAUUCCUAGUGUAGCGGUGAAAUGCGUAGAUAUUAGGAGGAACACCAGUGGCGAAGGCAGCUUACUAAACUGUGACUGACAUUGAGGCUCGAAAGUGUGGGUAUCAAACAGGAUUAGAUACCCUAGUAGUC
rnacentral:rRNA from 1 species